rnacentral:rRNA from 1 species
AUUGAACGCUGGCGGCAUGCCUUACACAUGCAAGUCGAACGGUAACAGGUCUUCGGAUGCUGACGAGUGGCGAACGGGUGAGUAAUAUAUCGGAACGUGCCCAGUCGUGGGGGAUAACGCAGCGAAAGCUGUGCUAAUACCGCAUACGAUCUAUGGAUGAAAGCGGGGGAUCGCAAGACCUCGCGCGAUUGGAGCGGCCGAUAUCAGAUUAGGUAGUUGGUGGGGUAAAGGCCCACCAAGCCAACGAUCUGUAGCUGGUCUGAGAGGACGACCAGCCACACUGGAACUGAGACACGGUCCAGACUCCUACGGGAGGCAGCAGUGGGGAAUUUUGGACAAUGGGCGCAAGCCUGAUCCAGCAAUGCCGCGUGAGGGAUGACGGCCUUCGGGUUGUAAACCUCUUUCAGUAGGGACGAAGCGAAAGUGACGGUACCUACAGAAGAAGGACCGGCCAACUACGUG